GGGACGAACGCUGGCGGCGUGCUUAACACAUGCAAGUCGAGCGGUAAGGCCUUUCGGGGUACACGAGCGGCGAACGGGUGAGUAACACGUGGGUGAUCUGCCCUGCACUCUGGGAUAAGCCUGGGAAACUGGGUCUAAUACCGGAUAUGACCUGCUCUCGCAUGGGGGUGGGUGGAAAGAUUUAUCGGUGCAGGAUGGGCCCGCGGCCUAUCAGCUUGUUGGUGGGGUAAUGGCCUACCAAGGCGACGACGGGUAGCCGACCUGAGAGGGUGACCGGCCACACUGGGACUGAGACACGGCCCAGACUCCUACGGGAGGCAGCAGUGGGGAAUAUUGCACAAUGGGCGAAAGCCUGAUGCAGCGACGCCGCGUGAGGAUGAAGGCCUUCGGGUUGUAAACCUCUUUCAGCAAGGACGAAGCGCAAGUGACGUACCUGCAGAAGAGCACCGCUAACACGUGCCAGCAGCCGAC
rnacentral:rRNA from 1 species